CCAUACGCCCCAGCCGCUCGCCGGGCCGCUCCAGAGCUGCUUGACAGAGCUCUGCCUUACAAGCCUGCUCUUCAAAGCAUUCCUGUCUUUACUGUCGAAUGCACCAAAUGUCUCCCACAGCUGUUUAGUUGGUUUGUGAGCCUUGUUAAGUGCCGGGUUUAUCAUAGCUUUCCCAAGGAAUGCGCGCUCCCAACAAGUAGCUGAAAGAUAUUAUCUGGUUCAGCCAGCUGAGGAGCUCAGGCUCCUUGGAGACUAGCUGAGAGUGUACAACUAAUUUCUUUACUGGACAGUUGAUAUGUUUAAUUGAACUUGAGUGUUCUUUGGUCUAUUCUGCUGAGAAGAGAGGUUUGGGGAGAGGAUCACGGUAUCAUCACCCUCAUAGCACCGAGUAUUGCUUGGGAAGCUGUUCAGGGCUGGAUGAAUUACACAAGGUUCCUUGGACACCAGACAGGCGAAGUGGGGUUAGAGCACCAUGUGAUCUCAGCUACAGUUCCCAGCCCAGCGUCCUGAUGUUGUGCACAGACGUGGUAACUUGGCUCCUUUCCUGCUUGAAAACAUUUGCUUGGAUGUUCUGAGACUUUCUCAACACUGUGGCCCCCCGCCAUAGGGUGUUACAUGGCUUUAGAUAAGAAAUCUCCAUAAAACUGUAAGCAAUGUG